rnacentral:rRNA from 1 species
UGGGGAAUUGUGCACAAUGGGGGAAACCCUGAUGCAGCGACGCCGCGUGAUUUAGAAGGCCUUCGGGUUGUAAAAAUCUUUUCUAUGGGAAGAAAAUGACAGUACCAUAGGAAUAAGGACCGGCUAAUUACGUGACAGCAGCCGCGGUAAUACGUAAGGUCCGAGCGUUGUCCGGAAUCAUUGGGCGUAAAGGGUACGUAGGCGGGUAAGCAAGUUAGAAGGGAAAUCCUAUAGCUCAACUAUAGUAAGCUUUUAAAACUGCUCAUCUUGAGGUAUGGAAGGGAAAGUGGAAUUCCUAGUGUAGCGGUGAAAUGCGCAGAUAUUAGGAGGAGUACCGGUGGCGAAGGCGACUUUCUGCCCAUAACCUGACGCUGAGGUACGAAAGCGUGGGUAGCAAAGAGG